UCCGUGGUGGUCCAGUGGCUAAGACUCUUUGCUCCCAAUGCAAGGGGCCCGGGUUCAAUCCCUGGCUAGGGAA
rnacentral:tRNA from 1 species